rnacentral:rRNA from 1 species
UACGAAGGGUGCAAGCGUUACUCGGAAUUACUGGGCGUAAAGCGUGCGUAGGUGGUUUGUUAAGUCUGAUGUGAAAGCCCCGGGCUCAACCUGGGAAUGGCAUUUGGGACUGCAAGGCUUGAGUGCGGCAGAGGAGACUGGAAUUCCUGGUGUAGCAGUGAAAUGCGUAGAUAUCAGGAGGAAUACCGAUGGCGAAGGCAGGUCUCUGGGCUGACACUGACGCUCAUGCACGAAAGCGUGGGGAGCAAACAGG